UACAGAGGGUGCAAGCGUUGUUCGGAAUUACUGGGCGUAAAGCGCGUGUAGGCGGCGUCGUUAGUCGAAUGUGAAAGCCCUCGGCUCAACCGAGGAAGUGCAUCCGAUACUGCGACGCUUGAGUGUUGGAGGGGGUGGCGGAAUUCCCGGUGUAGAGGUGAAAUUCGUAGAUAUUGGGAAGAACACCGGUGGCGAAGGCGGCUCUCUGGACCGACACUGACGCUGAGGCGCGAAAGCGUGGGGAGCAAACAGG
rnacentral:rRNA from 1 species